AACAAAGUGAACUGAAACAUCUUAGUAACUUUAGGAAAAGAAAUCAAAAGAGAUUCUAUUAAUAGCGUGAGUGAAAGUAGA
rnacentral:ncRNA from 1 species